rnacentral:rRNA from 1 species
GCUGGCGGCGUGCCUAAUACAUGCAAGUCGAGCGAACAGAUAAGGAGCUUGCUCCUUUGACGUUAGCGGCGGACGGGUGAGUAACACGUGGGUAACCUACCUAUAAGACUGGAAUAACUCCGGGAAACCGGGGCUAAUGCCGGAUAACAUAUAGAACCGCAUGGUUCUAUAGUGAAAGAUGGUUUUGCUAUCACUUAUAGAUGGACCCGCGCCGUAUUAGCUAGUUGGUAAGGUAAUGGCUUACCAAGGCGACGAUACGUAGCCGACCUGAGAGGGUGAUCGGCCACACUGGAACUGAGACACGGUCCAGACUCCUACGGGAGGCAGCAGUAGGGAAUCUUCCGCAAUGGGCGAAAGCCUGACGGAGCAACGCCGCGUGAGUGAUGAAGGGUUUCGGCUCGUAAAACUCUGUUAUUAGGGAAGAACAUAUGUGUAAGUAACUGUGCACAUCUGACGG